rnacentral:rRNA from 1 species
AAUCAACGCUGGCGGCGUGCCUCAGACAUGCAAGUCGAACGCGAAAGUCUCCUUCGGGGGACAAGUAGAGUGGCGCACGGGUGAGUAACACGUAGGUAAUCUACCUUCGGAUGGGGAAGUAACAACCGGAAACGGUUGCUAAUACCGCAUAAUGCAGCGGCACCUAAUGGUGACAGUUGUUAAAGCGGGGGAGUCUAAGACCUCGCGUCUGAAGAGGAGCCUGCGGCGGAUUAGCAGUUGGUAAGGUAAUGGCUUACCAAGGCUACGAUCCGUAACCGGCCUGAGAGGGCGGUCGGUCACACUGACACUGACAUACGGGUCAGACUCCUACGGGAGGCAGCAGUCGGGAAUUUGGGCAAUGGGCGAAAGCCUGACCCAGCAACGCCGCGUGAAGGA